UGGGGAAUCUUGCACAAUGGGGGAAACCCUGAUGCAGUGACGCCGCGUGAGCGAUGAAGCCCUUCGGGGUGUAAAGCUCUUUCGGCAGGGACGAUAAUGACGGUACCUGAAGAAGAAGCUGCGGCUAACUACGUGCCAGCAGCCGCGGUAAUACGUAGGCAGCGAGCGUUGUUCGGAGUUACUGGGCGUAAAGAGUGCGUAGGCGGUGGCCCAAGUCUGGUGUGAAAUCUCCCGGCUUAACCGGGAGGGUGCGCCGGAAACUGGGUCGCUUGAGUACUGGAGAGGCAAGCGGAAUUCCUGGUGUAGCGGUGAAAUGCGUAGAUAUCAGGAGGAACACCCGUGGUGUAGACGGCUUGCUGGACAGUCACUGACGCUGAGGCACGAAAGCGUGGGGAGCAAACAGGAUUAGAUACCCUGGUAGUCCACGCCCUAAACGAUGCAUACUUGGUGUGGGCAGUUCAGUCUGUCCGUGCCGAAGCUAACGCGAUAAG
rnacentral:rRNA from 1 species